rnacentral:rRNA from 1 species
CCUACGGGAGGCAGCAGUGAGGAAUAUUGGACAAUGGAUGGAAAUCUGAUCCAGCCAUGCCGCGUGCAGGAAGACGGCCCAAUGGGUUGUAAACUGCUUUUAUAUGGGAGCAAUAAGGUCUACGCGUAGACCGAUGAGAGUACCAUAUGAAUAAGCAUCGGCUAACUCCGUGCCAGCAGCCGCGGUAAU